rnacentral:misc_RNA from 1 species
GAAAUGCGAUAAGUAAUGUGAAUUGCAGAAUUCAGUGAAUCAUCGAAUCUUUGAACGCACAUUGCGCCCGCCAGUAUUCUGGCGGGCAUGCCUGUCCGAGCGUCAUUUCAACCAUCAAGCCCCCGGGCUUGUGUUGGGGACCUGCGGCUGCCCGCAGGCCCUGAAAACCAGUGGCGGGCUCGCUGUCACACCGAGCGUAGUAGCAAUCACCUCGCUCAGGGCGUGCUGCGGGUUCCGGCCGUUAAACAGCCUUACAAAACCCAAGGUUGACCUCGGAUCAGGUAGGAAGACCCGCUGAACUUAAGCAU